GAUGAACGCUGGCGGCGUGCCUAAUACAUGCAAGUCGAGCGAACAGAUGAGGAGCUUGCUCCUCUGACGUUAGCGGCGGACGGGUGAGUAACACGUGGAUAACCUACCUAUAAGACUGGGAUAACUUCGGGAAACCGGAGCUAAUACCGGAUAAUAUAUUGAACCGCAUGGUUCAAUAGUGAAAGACGGUUUUGCUGUCACUUAUAGAUGGAUCCGCGCCGCAUUAGCUAGUUGGUAAGGUAACGGCUUACCAAGGCAACGAUGCGUAGCCGACCUGAGAGGGUGAUCGGCCACACUGGAACUGAGACACGGUCCAGACUCCUACGGGAGGCAGCAGUAGGGAAUCUUCCGCAAUGGGCGAAAGCCUGACGGAGCAACGCCGCGUGAGUGAUGAAGGUCUGCGGAUCGUAAAACUCUGUUAUUAGGGAAGAACAAAUGUGUAAGUAACGAUGCACGUCUUGACGGUACCUAAUCAGAAAGCCACGGCUAACUACGU
rnacentral:rRNA from 1 species